UACGUAGGGUCCGAGCGUUGUCCGGAUUUAUUGGGCGUAAAGAGCUCGUAGGCGGUUCCGUAAGUCAGAUGUGAAAACUCAGGGCUCAACCCGGAGACGCCAUCUGAUACUGCGGUGACUGGAGUCUGGUAGGGGAACACGGAAUUCCUGGUGUAGCGGUGAAAUGCGCAGAUAUCAGGAGGAACACCGAUGGCGAAGGCAGUGUUCUGUGCCAGUACUGACGCUGAGGAGCGAAAGCGUGGGGAGCAAACAGG
rnacentral:rRNA from 1 species